GCGUGUAUGUAUACAGUUGCUUGUUAUCAGUUGUAUACAAUUAUCAAUAUAUAUAUAUAUAUAUAUAUACUAAUAUGUGCACACACAUGCACCCAUACGCGUUGAUAAGUGCGUAUAUAUUGUGUUUGCAUACACUUAUACAUGCCUUCUUUAUACACUGAAAUAUAUGAUCAUAUAAACAUAUAUUAACAGUUUAUAUAUAAAUAUAUAUAAACAGUGUGUCUAUAUAUAUAUACUGAUAUGUUUAUACGUGUAUGUUUAAACUAGCUAUCAGUUAUAUAUACUAGCUAUCAGUUAUAUGUUUAAACCAGCUAUCAGUUAUAUGUUUAAACUAGCUAUCAGUUAUCAGUUUAUACGUGUAUGUUUAAACUAGCUAUUCAGAUAUAUAUGAAUAUAUAUACACUUUUUAUCAGUUUCUACUGUUAUUAGCGUACCCGUACAUUACUGUGUAUAUGAAUGCACAGGUGGCUAUUGCAGCCAAUAAGGUAAAUGGACAUAUCCCCCCACCCCUCCUUUUUGAUUAUUUUCUUCUCAAUUCUUUCCAUUCAAAUCAUUUUCUUCCAUUUGAAUGAUUUUUCCUUAUACAAUUUUCCAAACUGUGAUAAAUUCAGACCUUAAAGAAUUAUUUCUUCUAGCUAUCACCUCUAAUCAGAUAAGCCUAGGCGAAAUUCUAUAUUAAUUUGUAUAGAAUUAGGCAUAAAAAUGGGUUUCUUCUCUUGGUGAAUUGUGUAUGCUAAAUACCCAAUUGUGAUAGUCCAUCUAAAUUUUGUCUUAUUUGUACUUGUUUUUAUUAUUAUUGAUGAGCUUCAUCUUCAUCGAGUUUUCUUGUAAAGCAACAAGCAUUAAAGCAACUUAUCAUCGAGAUGGAUCUCUUUACAUUAUUCGAUAUUUGUGAUCUUGAUCUUGCAAGCUUGAUUUGAUUAAUGGUUCUUUCUUCUCUAGUAUAGUACUUAUCUUGCUUCUUUCAUGCAAAAAAUGGAGUGAAUUUUCUGAAACUUUACUUGUGGUUUGCAAUUUUAUUAAGUAAAUUUUUCUUAAUACACACACUCUCUUAACACACACACACGCUUCAUUAAGUAACUUUUUCUUAACACACACACACUCUUUCUUCUUUCAUGCAAAUAUGGAGUGAAUUUUCUAGAGUAUUAUUUGUGGUUUGCAAUUGUAUUAAGUAACUCUUUCUUAACACACACUCACACUCACAUUCACAUUCACACUCACACUCAGUCUCACUCUCACACUCACACUCACACUCACACUCACUCUCACACUCAGAUACACACAUACACACUCACACUCACAUACACUCACACUCACACGAACACACACACACACUCACACUCACACACACUCACACACACAUACUCAUACACUCACACACGCUCACUCUCACACAUUCACGCUCAUGCUCACAUUCACACUCAGAUAUAUAGUACACUUAUACACAUGUUGUGUAUGGACUGAUGUGUGUAUAUAUACUAUGAUAUGUUUAUGCACGUAUAUAUACAGUUGUUUGCUAUCAGUUAUAUACAACUAUCAAUGUAUGUAUAUAAUGAUACCUGCACGCACACGUACCCUUACGCAUUGAUAAGUGCGUAUGUAUGGUAUAUGUUUGCACUAAUACAUGCAUAAUAUAUACUGAUAUAUAUGACCAUAUAGACAUUUAUUAGCACUUUACAUAUAUAUAUAUAUACAUAUAUAUAUAUAUAUAUAUAGUUACGAUAUGUAUAUACUGAUAUGUUUUUGCGUGUAUGUAUAAACUUCCUAUCAGUUAUAUAAACACUGAUAUGCGCCUACACAUGCACCCUUACGCAUUGAUAGGGCAUACGUACAUUCUUAUAGACACUGAUAUGUAUGACCUUAUGGACACUUCUUAUCAGUUUAUACAGUUAUUGGUGUUUAUGUACAUUGAUAUGUAUAUACUCACUCAUGUGCAUAUCUGUAUUGGGUUUAUAUAUAUAUACUAAUAUAUAAGACCAUAUGUGUACUUAUUAUUAGUGAUAUAUAUAAUUAUUAGCUCAAUUUGUGUACGUAUUGAUGUAUAUCAAUAGAUACCAUUCUUUUCAGAGUAUAUAUAUAAAUACUGAUGCAUAUAACCAUAUAAUACAUUAGAUAUAAGCUAUAUAUACAAUUAUUAGUAUGUAAAAAUACAUUGCUAUGUGUGUGUGAUGUCUGUAUUUAUAUGAUGUGUAUAUACGGAUUUGUGUGUAUGUGUAAAGUGCAUAACUAUAUAUAUACAAUACAUUAAUAUAUACGAUGAUGUAUAUGACCAUAUAUACACUUAUUAUUUCUAUAUACCUUUAUUAACGUAUAUGUACACUGAUUUAUAUACUACACAGACUCACUGUCACACUCACUCUCACCCUCACCCUCACCCUCACACUCACACUCACACUCACACUCACACUCACACUCACACUCACUCACUCAUAUACACACACACACUCACACUUACACUCACACUCGCACUCGCACCAGCACUCUCACUCUCACUUGCACUCACACUGACAUUGACAGUUACACACUCACACUCACACUCACACUCACAAAUAUAUAUACUAUUGCUUGUAAUCAAAUAUGCAAUUGCGAAAUUCCUUAUUACUUUGUAUAGAAUUAGGCAUAAGAAUGGGUUUCUUCUCUUGAUGAAUUGGGUAUGUUGAAUACCCUAUUGUGAUAGUCCAUGUAAAUUUUUUAUCUUAUUUGUACUUGUUUUUUAUUAUUAUUGAUGGGCUUCAUCUUCAUUGAGUUUUCUUGUAAAUCAACAAGCACGAAAGCAACUUAUCAUAGAGGCGGAUCUCUUUACGUUAUUCGAUAUUUGAGAUCUUGAUAUUGCAAGCUUGAUUUGCUUGAUGGUUCUUUCUUCUCUAUUAUAGUAUUGCUCUUGCUUCUUUCAUGCAAAUAUAGUGUGAAUUUUCUAGAGCUUUACUUGUGGCUUGCAAUUUUAUUAAGAAACUUUAUCUUAACACACACACAGUCUUGCUUCUUUCAUACAAAUAUGGAGUUAAUUUUUUGGAGCUUUACUUGUGUUUUUGCAAUUUUAUUACAGAACUUUUUCUUUACCCGCACACAUGCACCACACACACACACACACACACACACACUCACUCUCACACACACACUCACACACUCACUCUCACACACACACUCACACUAAUGUAUAGGAAUGGGUUUAUAUAUACACUAAUGUAAUAAGGCCAUGUAUAUACUUAUUAUCAGUGAUAUAUACAGUUAUCAGCUCUAUAUGUUUAUGUAUUGAUGUAUAUAAGCAUAGAAUACAUUAGUUAUCGGCUUUUUAUACAAUUACUAGUGUGUGAAAAAUACAUUGAUGUGUGUGAUGUCUGUGUAUGUGUAAAGUACAUAACUGUAUAUAUACAGUGUAUUAAUAUUUAGUUUUAUGAAAAUACUGUUAAUGGCACAAAUUAAAGCUCAAAGCAAAUUUUUUACUGAUAAAUAAGAAGCAAAGAGUGUGAUUACAGGAUCAAGUAAUUAAUAUUUUAUUGUUGAUUGUGUAAACUGUAAACUUACCGGAGCAAGCAAUUGUACCUAUAGGAUUAGUUCCCCAAACUUAAUCCUUCAGCUCUGUUUCCUCAAGAAAAUGAAAAGCCCUCUUCAAACUAUCCCAAAUCAGAGAGAAAAACCCUUUUCAAACUAUUCCAAAUCAGCUUUUCAUCUUCCUAAAUCAGCAUCCCAUCUUCAUUUUCUCUCUUUAAAAAUCAGUUAAGGCCUCUUCCAUUAGGGUUCUUUCUUUUCUCUCUCUAAAAAUCACUUAGGGCGGCCCCUUCCAUUAGGGUUUGUGAAAACUAUUUUCUUCUUCCUUCUUCUUGCUAUAAACCCUAAUGGCUAUGAGCCGAGCCUUAUUUUCUUCUCUUCCUUUCCUUCGUCGUUCUUCUUCUUCUCUUUACACAGUAAACAUAGAUCUAAAUCCCAAAUUUAUAUGAACUUCUUUCAACUAAAGAAAUUUAUAAAACUUUAAUCAUAGUUAUGGAGUGACCAUAGACACCAUACCAUAAUUAAAUAACUGUCGUGACAAAACAAAAAUCGUGUAUUUAUUUUUUGGUACCUGCUAAGUAGGAGUUAUGUUUAAGUAUUUAAUAAAUAAAUUUAUAGUAUAUUUAUUUGUUUUUGUAUGUAAUAAGUAUGUGUGAUGUUUCUUAAAGUAUUUAAUGGGUAGAUUUAUAUGGUACUUUUUUUGGUAUAUAUUAAGUAUCUAUAUAUUUAAUAUUCGAUGAGAGUCACAAGACAUCUAAAUUAAUUGACUUAAUUAUAUUAUUCUAGUAAAGUUUUUAUAGAUGAAUUAGUAAUUGAUGGCUUUGACAAAAAUUUUAUUUUUUAGAAUUUCAAAAUUUCUAAUAUGAUAAAUUUAUCCGAUUUGUUUACUCUGAUUUUUUUAGCUUAAUUCGAUAUAUUAGCGAUAUCUUUAUAUGAAGUAUUUUUACCAAUUCGUAUUUUUUAUCCAAUUUUUUCAUCCGAUUUUCAAAAUAAAAACGAUUUAUUUCCGAUAUGUAUAUAUUGAUAUGUUUAUGCGUGUAUGUAUAAACUUGCUAUCAGUCAUAUACACACUGAUAUGCGCACACACAUGCACCCUUACGCAUUGACAGUGCAUAUAUACAUUUCUAUAUACACUGAUAUAAAUGACCUUAUAGACACUUAUUUUCAGCUUAUACAGUUAUUAGUGUAUAUGUACACUGAAAUGUAUAUACGCACACUCAUAUGCAUAUCUAUAAAGGUUUAUAUAUAUACUAAUGUAUAAGACUCAUGUAUGUACUUAUUAUCAGUGAUAUAUAUAGUAUUGAGCUCAAUUUGUCUACGUAUUGAUUUAUAACAAUAUAUACCAUUAUGUUCAAUGUAUAUAUAUUUAUACUGAUGCAUAUAACCAAACAAAACAUUAGCUAUUUGCUUUAUAUACAGUUAUUAGUUUGUAAAAAAUACAUUGAUAUGUAUGUGUGAUGUCUGUAUAUAUACGAUGUGAAUAUACUGAUAUGUGUGUAUGUGUAUGUGUAAAGUGCAUAACUGUAUAUAUAUAAUGCAUCAACAUAUACAUUUCUAUAUACAUUGACAUAUAUGACGAUAUAUACAUUACUUAUCAGUUUAUACUGUUAUUAACGUAUAUGUAUACUGAUUUAUAUGCUACACACACACUUACACUCACACUCUCCCUUACACUUACACUCACACACUCACUCACAUACACACGCACACACAGUCACUCACAUACACACUGACACUGACACUGACACUGACACUGACACUGACACUGACACUGACACUGACACUUGCACUCACAGUCACAGUCACAGUCAUACUGACACUGACACUGACACUGACACUGACACUCACACUGACACUCACACUCACACUCACACUCACACUCACUCACACUCACACUCACACUCACUCACACUCACACUCACAUUCACACUCACACUCACACUCACUCACACUCACACACAUUC
rnacentral:lncRNA from 1 species